rnacentral:lncRNA from 1 species
AUACAUGAUUUGUAGUACGCUUCAUGUUGCCUCAUUAAAACCUUAUCACGAAAACUCAGUGGGACAAAACCAUGAUGAAGGAAAAAGAGUACAACACGCACUAUUCCCCCUGAUGUGAACCUCAGUGUAGGUUUCUACAUUCUACGCAUCUGGUGCGUGAUCUUUCCUGUAUAUGUAGAAAGGGAGUAAUCGGCCAAGUUCAUUACUAAGCUGUAUCUAGACCACUUCGACCUUUUAGGUCGUUUCUCAUGUCUCUUGACAUCGAGUGUCCCGGUAAAGCAU